rnacentral:rRNA from 1 species
AGACUUUGAUUAUGGCUCAGAACGAACGCUGGCGGCAGGCCUAACACAUGCAAGUCGAACGCGCGCCUUCGGGCACGAGUGGCGGACGGGUGAGUAACGCGUGGGAAUUUGCCUUGGGGUACGGAAUAACCGCGGGAAACUGCGGCUAAUACCGUAUACGUCCUUCGGGAGAAAGAUUUAUCGCCCCAAGAUGAGCCCGCGUCCGAUUAGGUAGUUGGUGAGGUAACGGCUCACCAAGCCUUCGAUCGGUAGCUGGUCUGAGAGGAUGAUCAGCCACACUGGGACUGAGACACGGCCCAGACUCCUACGGGAGGCAGCAGUGGGGAAUAUUGGACAAUGGGGGAAACCCUGAUCCAGCCAUGCCGCGUGAGUGAAGAAGGCCUUAGGGUUGUAAAGCUCUUUCGGUGGUGACGAUGAUGACGGUAGCCACAGAAGAAGCCCCGGCUAACUCCGUGCCAGCAGCCGCGGUAAUACGGAGGGGGCAAGCGUUGUUCGGAAUUACUGGGCGUAAAGGGCGCGUAGGCGGAUGAUCAAGUCAGACGGUGAAAGCCCUGGGCUCAACCUAGGAGGUGCCUUUGAAACUGAUUGUCUUGAGUACGGGAGAGGAUAGCCGGAAUUCCCAGUGUACGAGGUGAAAUUCGUACGAUCUUGGGAAGAACACCAGUGGCGAAGGCGGUUAUCUGGCCCGUAACUGACGCUGAGGCGCGAAACGCGUGCGGACGCACACAGGAUUAUGAUUCCCUUGGUA